GACGAACGCUGGCGGCGUGCUUAACACAUGCCAGUCGAACGGAAAGGCCCUGCUUUUGUGGGGUGCUCGAGUGGCGAACGGGUGAGUAACACGUGAGUAACCUGCCCUUGACUUUGGGAUAACUUCAGGAAACUGGGGCUAAUACCGGAUAGGAGCUCCUGCUGCAUGGUGGGGGUUGGAAAGUUUCGGCGGUUGGGGAUGGACUCGCGGCUUAUCAGCUUGUUGGUGGGGUAGUGGCUUACCAAGGCUUUGCCGGGUAGCCGGGCUGAGAGGGUGACCGGCCACAUUGGGACGGGGAUACGGCCCAGACUCCUACGGGAGGCAGCAGUGGGGAAUAUUGCACAAUGGGCGGAAGCCUGAUGCAGCAACGCCGCGUGCGGGAUGACGGCCUUCGGGUUGUAAACCGCUUUCGCCUGUGACGAAGCGUGAGUGACGGUAAUGGGUAAAGAAGCACCGGCUAACUACGUG
rnacentral:rRNA from 1 species